UACGGAGGGUGCGAGCGUUGUCCGGAAUCAUUGGGCGUAAAGGGCGCGUAGGUGGCCCGGUCAGCGUGCGGUGAAAGCUCGGGGCUCAACCCCGAGUCGGCCGUGCGAACUGCUGGGCUUGAGCACUGUAGAGGCAGGCGGAAUUCCGGGUGUAGCGGUGGAAUGCGUAGAGAUCCGGAAGAACACCAGUGGCGAAGGCGGCCUGCUGGGCAGUGGCUGACACUGAGGCGCGACAGCGUGGGGAGCAAACAGG
rnacentral:rRNA from 1 species